rnacentral:rRNA from 1 species
UGGGGAAUUUUGGACAAUGGGCGAAAGCCUGAUCCAGCAAUGCCGCGUGUGUGAAGAAGGCCUUCGGGUUGUAAAGCACUUUUGUCCGGAAAGAAAUGGCUCUGGUUAAUACCUGGGGUCGAUGACGGUACCGGAAGAAUAAGGACCGGCUAGCUACGUGCCAGCAGCCGCGGUAAUACGUAGGGUCCAAGCGUUAAUCGGAAUUACUGGGCGUAAAGCGUGCGCAGGCGGUUGUGCAAGACCGAUGUGAAAUCCCCGAGCUUAACUUGGGAAUUGCAUUGGUGACUGCACGGCUAGAGUGUGUCAGAGGGGGGUAGAAUUCCACGUGUAGCAGUGAAAUGCGUAGAGAUGUGGAGGAAUACCGAUGGCGAAGGCAGCCCCCUGGGAUAACACUGACGCUCAUGCACGAAAGCGUGGGGAGCAAACAGG